UGUUUAUCUCUAGGGUUGAUCUACUGGAAUUACUUAUCUGAGCCAAAGUAAUUCAAGUAACUCAGGUGUAGUGAAAC
rnacentral:pre_miRNA from 10 species